rnacentral:lncRNA from 1 species
AAAAAUAACUAAUAUGAAAUAUAUCAGCUUCAAAUGAAAUAAUUAUAGCAUAUAAUAAAAUAACGAAUACUAGUGUAUCACUUGCUAUGGACAGACAUUGUCUUACAACAGCCCUCUGAGGUUGGUUCUAUUAUUGUCCUCACUUUAAAAAUGAGGAAAACGUGCCCCAAUCACACAGCUAGAAAGAGGCUGAGCUGGUAGCAAAUCCAAGCACACUGGCUGCUAACUGUGUGCUCUGACCCACUGUCUCUCGUGUGUCUUUGUUAGGAAAUUUCAUGAUCCGACUGGAAUCCAGGAAAAUCACAGCUGAAAUACAAAACAUCAGCCCUUAUCUCCAGCACUGUACAUGGCAGAAACUGCUUUUAUUCUAGAUGUCUAGAUCCAGAUCAACUGCAUGGGGUCCUACAGGAGAAGACCAAGAGACAGAGACAGAGACCAGGGAAAAUGACCGAUACCAUUCCUUCUCAGGGAUGCUACACACCCAUGGGGCAGAGGAUAAGAGGUUCCUGAAGGCAUCACCCCUCUGGCCAUGGCUGGUGUGCAGACAAAGCUGGAGAUUUGGAGUAGCCUGUUGUCCCACUGACUCUUAGACUGCCCCAGCUAAGAAGAACCAACUCCUCCUAUUACAGAUGAAAUAAACAAAGCUACUCAAGCUCUCUGGCAUCGCCCUGACGGUCAUCAUGUGCUUCACAUUUCCCUCCUGCCCCCCCUGAUUUUCUGGAAAAGGGAGAAAGUGUGUGAAAAAAAAUGGACAAUAACUUCUGUUAACUUUGUAGAUGUCUGGUUCCUCCAUAUGAGGCUGUGCUUGAAUCAAUUUUGGAGAGAGGGUUUCUAAAGUCUCUCUAGAUUCUAUUAAUUUUGAUAGAGACAAUAAAAGGCAGCAGGACCAACUCUGUGUGGUGGGAGAUCUAGCAACCAUUAUAGUCACAAUAGCCACCACUUACUGAACACCCACCAUGUGACAAAGAACAAAUGUGCAUGAAUUAUGUCACAUUUUUCACAAGCACCCCUUGAGUUGGGAGUUCACUCAUGAGGCAACUGAGGUUCAGGGAGAUGAAGUAACUCACCCUGUAGGUAGGAGGGCUGAGAUCUGGACGUAGAUCUUUCCUCCAAAGCUUUGUCUUUUUUUUUCUACUAUAGCACACCAAAGAGAGUUCUAGAAAAAAUGAGAAUAAGAAAUUUACCUGUAAUCCUUGCUCAAGAAACUGAAGCUCUGAGGCCACAUUGUUCCAGCCUUUUGCAGCUCCUGCAUGUGGAUACCAGCACCAGCAGCUCCCCGACCAGGGGCCCCAGCUAAGCCCUCCCAGAGGAUGAUCUUGGCUUUGUACAUGGGGUGUCAAUAUCCUGUGAGUCCAACAGAGGGAAGACAUAAGAAUAUGGUCACCCAGGUAACAGACAUUUGUCUUAAUGUAUUCACUGUGUCAUCAGAAGCCACUUCUUAUCCAUCCUUGUGAAUACUUGAUGAAUGAGGAGUCAAUGAUUAAAUGAAGGAAAGAAAAGAGACUGAAAAGGAGGUAUGAGAAUGGGAAAGACGAGUGGAAAGACGAGAUAGAUAUUGCCCUAAAGACACAGUAAGCCAUCAAAUAUCUGUUUUCUAGUCCCCUUCUGGGCCCUCUUGGAUUUUGAAAAAGGGAGGAAGAAAUUGGAAAAAUUACCAAUAACUUCUAUUGACUUUGUAGAUUCCUAGUUUCCCCACAUGUGGCUAUGCUUGAAUCAACUUGUAAAAGUCUCUUUAUAGUCUGUUGAUGUUCAUGCAGGCACUAAAAGGCCACGGUCGGCCUACUUAGAUGAUCCACUCCACCCUGGGCUCCGGAAGAUGUUCCAGGGCAUUUGCCUUUACUUGACCCUAUGCUGAGAAGCUACCAAUAUUUUUCUUUCCCCAAAUUGGUUUUAUUUGUACCCUUUAUAUAUUAAAUAUUAGAGUAUUGGCCAAGUUGAAGGAGUCUUCUUCUAUGGCUGGUUUCAAUAAACAUGGUGGAAUAAAUAUAUAUAUCAUAUAUAUAUAGUAUACGUAUAUAUAUUUUAUAUAUAUAGUAUAUGUAUAUACAUUAUAUAUAUAGUAUAUGUAUAUAUUAUAUAUAUAGUAUAUGUAUAUAUUAUAUAUAUAGUAUAUGUAUAUAUAUUAUAUAUAUAGUAUAUGUAUAUAUAUUAUAUAUAGUAUAUGUAUAUAUCUUAUAUAUAGUAUAUGUAUAUAUCUUAUAUAUAUAGUAUAUGUAUAUAUAUACACACAUGUGUGUAUAUAUAUGCAUAUAUUUCUUAGUAAUUUAAAGUUGCAAGGGACUUUGGGAUCAUGAAUCAUUUUACAGUUGUGGAACUGAGAGCCAGCAAAAUUAAAUGACUUGCCCAAGAAUACUAGCAAGUUAGUAGCAGAACCAGGACCCAUCUUGUCUUAAAAGGCUUAAGAGGUAGUCAGUCAAUUAAUUAAUCAAAUAUUUAUUGAUAACCACAAUCCAUCCCCAUCCCUCAUGAAGAGCAGAGACUAAAUUGCCAACUUGCUUUCGCCAGGAGGGCUAUGAUACAAUGUAGAAAGUACUGGCAUUAUUGUGUUGCUCAUAUUAAGGCUUGUGGCAACUCUGAAUUCAUGAAUUAUAGUGACUUUAAUAGACAACAUAAAAUAGUGAACUGAAGGAUGACUUUUAUCUGUAGGUCAAGCAAAGGGAUAUAGACCGUAUGGAAAUACAGCACCUCAGGGGUGCCUGGUGUAAUAAGAAACAACUUUAAAAAAAAAGGAGGGGAUGUGGCCCUAAAAGUUAUCAACUGUCAAUCAGACUUGACCAUGAAAAAUUGGCCAAAGAAAGAUUUGGGCCCACAGGUUUUGUACAGAGGAAAUCCAGGCUCCUAACGAUGGCGAAAGAUGGGAAUAAAAGGAUCAGAACACUGAGCUGGAUCUUCAGUUCAUUUCAGGUAUGGAGAAGGGUAAAUGGUCUUUAAAGAAGGCCGACCUCAAUGAAGGUGUCUUCCAAGGCCUUGUCCACUCAAGGACAUGUUGCAUGCCUGAAACUGAGUAUACAGGAAAAGGAUAGAAAUGGAAUAAAAUGGAAACCCAUAAAUCACACUACCCUGCUAUGCAGUUUCAAACCACUGACUUAAUGAAAUGUUGAUCCACUUUGCCAUGGAUGCCCCACUUUUUAACUCCUUCUUCAGAGUCCCAGGAGGUGAGGCUCUUCUGUUUAACUGAUUUGCAGAAUUUUUGCUUCUGCUAUUACAAUGGCUUCCAUAGUUGAGUACCAAAGACACUUUACUAUGGUGCCACAGAGAUCAUUUUGCAGAUGAGGAAACAGACUGUUCUACUACCCAGGCUUUGGUUUUUUCUACUCAGUCUUGCACAAUCUCUCACUCUCAGCCCAGAACAUUGCUGCAUUUUUGUGAGCCAUCAGCAUCCAAAGUGAACACAGGGUCUAAAUAACUGAAGAUGGCAUGAGGGAACACACAAUCAGGUCUUUAAAAAAAGAAGAAAGUGAAUAGGCAAACUGAACAGGACAUCUAGGACUGAAAAGCCUCUGUGAACAACUGGACUCAAUAUGAAAUUGGCGUGAGCUCACAGAAGACCAGCUGAGUUCCAGAUGUGGUUGGGUAGCUUGGGUUAUGGGCCCGUAUAAAAAAAAUGGUCUCUUCUUGUAAAAGGAAUUCAAAAAAAGACUAAAAGUCACCCCAAAGAGUCACUGUCUUUGUCUUUUGGCCAUUAGUAAGUCAGAAGAGACCUCUAGAGGAGACUGGAUUUUGUGGCUGAUUAUCGAUUAAUUGAUCAUCACUGGGUAUCUUUGGGAGUGUUGCCUUCUCAGGGAGAAGCUGAAAAUCAUUCUGUGAAAGGUAUGUCCACUGACAAUCAUUUAAGCUCUUUGGAGGCAAGAAAUCAGGUAUCUGGGAGAACUCAGAGAUAACAUAGGAGCGACAGGCUGAAACCAUGAGCGAGAUGGGCAGAUGGCUUGAGAAUGACGAUGGGCAGAGGAGAGCAGUGGCAGGGAGAACCCACAGGCCUCUACUUGGAGUCAGCCUGUCAGCAGGAUAAGCUACAAGAUCACCCUCGAGGGAAACUGCAGGCCAGGUCAGGGGCACUGCAAGCUGCAGGUGUGCCCAGGCAGGAGGGCAGGUGGCCUGUGAUGAGGGGCCAUGACUGUGUGGUGGGCUCUCCCACACCAGGAGCAACUAGACACUAGACUGAAAGUUCUUUUAAGUGAGGGAGCCAUCUUCUGUCCAGGGAAAAGUGGUUCGGGAUACAGGAGGAGCCCUGCACCACAGAAUCGGUCUAGUCUCAGGCUGUCUGUUCCACAGGAGCCUCCAGCCCAGUGAUGUAGGCAGCUAUUCACAACCACAUCAUGGCACAAAGUGAGGCCUCCCAAUCCACAGCCAUCCCUGAUUACAGACACUUCACUGGAUGUCUGAACAUAGCUGUGUGUGCCUGGAAAGCCUAGAAAUAGAAACGCUCCUUUUUUCCCCAAGACGAUCAUCUCUACAUCCUGACCUGGAUCAACAGUGAUCCAUUCUGGACAAUCCUGGACACUCCUGCUCCUGGAGAGAAGGGAUAGAUAACUUUUCCACCUGCCUGCCUGUCCUGUCCACCUCGAGGUGGUCUUGUGGCAUCUUGGGCCUCACAUGUCCCAUAGUCUCUUCUCAUCCCUCCAAUUUGCUCCUUCUCCAGACUUCUCUCUCUUGGUUGAGUGGUUCCACCAUUUUCCCAAGUUGCUUGGACCCAACACUUGAGUUACAGCCAACUCCUCUCUUUCUCUCACAACCCAAAUCUAAUUCAUCAGUAAGUCCUGGUGGCUCCACAUUCGGAAUGUUCCUGGGAUGCCACCACUUUUUGUCAUCUCUGUUACUGCUAGCCUGCCCCUUGCUACUGUCAGCUCCAGCCUGGAGGACUGAAAUAACCUCCUCACUGUCUCCAGCUGUUCUUCCCGCCCAUGGUCUAUUCCCCAGACACCACCAGAGGGAUGCUUUGAAGUCCAGAUGGCAUCAUGUCAUUUAGAAUGAAACCUGAGGUCCCAAGUGUGGCCCGAGGGAUGGUCAGGUUGCCCCCAGGGCUCCAUUUCCUGCCACUCUUCCUCUCUCUCACUCUGCUGGAGCCACAUGGUUACUAUUCCUGAACACAGGAGGCUCCCUCCUGCUUCAGGUCUCGUGCAGAUUUGUUCCCACAGCCUGGGGACAGAUUUUAUCCCAGAAGUUCCCAGGGCUUGAUUCCUCCCUUUAUUUAGUUCUCAGCUGAAAUGUCCCCUCUUCUGAGCAGCCUUCUCUCACCACCCGAUGGAAGCAGCCGUCCCUGCACGCUCUAUCACUUCACUCGGCUCUAUUUUUCUUCCUAACACGUUCACAACUUGACAUUCUUUUAUAAUUUUUCACUUAUUUAUUGAGUGCUGUCUCUUCCACUAGAACCCCUGAAAGCAGGGAUUUUUAUAAUCUUUUGGCCACCACUAGAUUCAUAAGGAUGCACAGAGCCUGGUAGGCUGCAGGCUGUCCAUAACUGCUUGUUGAAUGAAUCGAUGGAUGAAUGAUCAGCAGAAGCUCGUUUCUCUCCAUGAAAUACAACGGGUUCCAAAGAAAUCGAAGCCUUUUUGAAAGGCCUAGCCAUACUUCACCCAUACAGCUGCAGUGGCAGAUCCAUGCUCAUGACCUCAUUUCUCUCC